rnacentral:lncRNA from 13 species
AUGUCGUGGCACACUGUCCUUCUUCUGUUAGCUCAUAGAGUUAAAUUCAGCAUACACACGCGCACACACACACAGACAGACUUUGGUGCUAAAUGGCUCUCUAUUCCCUACACAGGGCUCUGGCCAAAAGUAGUGCACUACAUAGGGAAUAGGGUGCUAUUUCAGUAUGCAUCUAUACUGAACAGCAGUGUUUUCCCAACUCCAGUCCUCCAGUACCCCCAUCAGCCCAACUCCAGUCCUCCAGUACCCCCAUCAGCCCAACUCCAGUCCCAACUCCUGUUGGGGGUACUGGAGGACCAGAGUUGGGCUGUUGGGGGUACUGGAGGACCAGAGUUGGGCUGUUGGGGGUACUGGAGGACCAGAGUUGGGCUGAUGGGGGUACUGGAGGACCAGAGUUGGGCUGUUGGGGGGUACUGGAGGACCAGAGUUGGGCUGUUGGGGGUACUGGAGGACCAGAGUUGGGCUGUUGGGGGUACUGGAGGACUGGAGUUGGGAAACACUGCAGUACACAAUCCUUAAGAAACACUUGGUUCUAGAUAGCUGAUUCAACUCCGUUGCCCUGCUUCGCUACUGAUGAAUGAUUACUCUACACUUAUGAUUACUGAACACAAAUACCAAGAAAAAGCUUUUCCAUGCGGAAUCACUUUGAGAGAAAACAUGGGCACAUUGCAUGACCUUUCACAUUUAACAGAUGAAUCUUGGACAGAAAAAUUUAAAUAAAACCCAAAUGAGUCAAAAUAUCAUUUGGGGGGGGGGGGGAGUCUGGAGAUUGGAGACAGAACACACAUCACACAAUGUUGUGUGGAUCUCGAACGAUAAUUUCACUUCUUGUCGGGGUGGAUAGGCACACCAUCUUGCGAUAUGAGAACAUGUGUUCCUGUGUGUUCUGUUUGUCUUUUAGCCAGUCUAUCAUUGGGACAUUCCCUUGUCUGUGUACAUCGAUAGCCAUUGUUCAUAUGUGGCACUAAGCGAGGGAACUGCUCUCGCUCCCUUUACACAAGGACGGACUGCUCUCACCUAGAAACAGGUUAUAUUUUAGUCCAAAGACUAGUGUCCUUCCCUGCAUCCCAAAACUGGCUCCCUAACCUAUCCUAACCAUUUAUCAAUGGACCAGUCUUCCUGUAAGCAUGUCACAGGGAUCCAACCCAUCACUCCUUCCAGUGAUCUACAAUACUGACUUUUCAUUGACUUGGCUUCAGUAGGAGCCAAUCAGAGCGAUCCAUUCACAUCUCUUCCUGUCCGGGGUCAAAUUCCGCGUGCCAUUCUGAUGGUCCGUUAGACUCUCAUUGAUGUCUGUCUGUCUGUCUGUCUGUACUCUCUCUGUAUCUGUCUAACUGUCUCUCUCUCUCUGUAUCUGUCUAACUGUCUCUCUCUCUCUGUAUCUGUCUAACUGUCUCUCUCUCUCUGUAUCUGUCUAACUGUCUCUCUCUCUCUGUAUCUGUCUAACUGUCUCUCUCUCUCUGUAUCUGUUUAACUGUCUCUCUCUCUAUAUCUGUCUAACUGUCUCUCUCUCUCUGUAUCUGUCUAACUGUCUCUCUCUCUCUGUAUCUGUCUAACUGUCUCUCUCNNNNNNNNNNGCUCUUUCUCCAAUCGCCUUCCUGCUCUUUCUCCAAUCGUCUUCCUGCUCUUUCUCCAAUCGUCUUCCUGCUCUUUCUCCAAUCGUCUUCCUGCUCUUUCUUCACUCGUCUUCCUGCUCUUUCUCCAAUCGUCUUCCUGCUCUUUCUCCAAUCGUCUUCCUGCUCUUUCUCCAAUCGUCUUCCUGCUCUUUCUCCAAUCGUCUUCCUGCUCUUUCUCCAAUCGUCUUCCUGCUCUUUCU